AAACUGAACUUUGGUGUGGAAUUAAUAACAAGAUAAACGUUAUUAACCGACGGGGAGUCCCUGAAACCAAAUACUACAUAUUUAUCAAUUCUUCCACAUAUAUCAGUUCGUUAAAAGAAGAGAGUCAGUCAAUUCCGACAACACCCUUCUAAGCCCAACGGUAGCUACGCGCUGAAUUCUACACAGAUGCGCAUGCGCGGCACCACCUCCCGACACCUCCUGCGAGAGCUGAUUGGCCAGAACCGCCACUAUGAGCGGCGCUAUUGGACGCAGAGCCUGUCAAUCACUAGCCUUAGCCACUGCAUUUAUUUCCAGCGUAGAGGUUCUUGCAUCAUGUCUAGCUUCGACCAAGAGACCGUUCAUCCCGCCACUAAGAAGAAGCCAGGCUCAGAAAGUAGUGAAGAAGCUUCUAGCUUCUACUAAGUUGUGAAGCAGAUUCUCCAUGGUGGGAGGAACCUUCCAGCCGGUUUGUAAAGCGGGUGAGAGCCGGAGCUGACGUCAGAGCAACGAGAUAUCCCUCAAUCUCCCGUGCAGUAGGUGGAACCAAUCUCACUGACGGUAAACACCAGCGACAGCCUAAUUCAUGGAAACGAAAAACAGCAGCAGCUUUAUGCCAGCGUCUCUACUGAAAGGGUCAUCGUGAAACUGCUACAAGGGACCUAUGGGGAGCGGUCCUGCUGCCAGCGAGUGCUGGCCUGUUACAUUACCAGGGGGCCCAAGUGCUGUGUGUGCGCUCUGCUUCUGUCAGUGCCAAACAAGGCAUUGUGGAGCGUUUAUUUACAGGCAUGUCACCAGCGGACUGAAGAAUGUGCAGACAGCACAGGACGAAGGGUCCAGAAAAAACAGGCGAGCGCUUUUUUGUUCAGUAGCCGCUGACCACUCCGCAACAACAGAGCUGCAUUCCAGCGAACCUCGGUUCACUUUAAAGCAAUAGUUUGGAAGAAAAUCAAAUGUAAACCAGCCAAGACAUGUUUUGUGUUCAAUGUUUGGUCCAAAGAAAUAACAGAAGUAAAUCAAUUUGAGAUUACUUAACAGUGUGAGGCAAGCGUGUACUGAUUUCACUGCAAAAAGGAUGUUGUGGCAAGUGAAAUCAUCGUAAAUCGUCUGAACAUAUCUAAUA